GUGAGGAAUAUUGGUCAAUGGACGGAAGUCUGAACCAGCCAAGUAGCGUGCAGGAUGACGGCCCUAUGGGUUGUAAACUGCUUUUAUGCGGGGGUAAAGUGAGUGACGUGUCAUUCAUUGCAAGUACCGCAAGAAUAAGGACCGGCUAAUUCCGUGCCAGCAGCCGCGGUAAUACGGAAGGUCCUGGUGUUAUCCGGAUUUAUUGGGUUUAAAGGGAGCGUAGGCCGUCAGGCAAGCGUGUUGUGAAAUGUCGUGGCUCAACCAUGGACUUGCAGCGCGAACUGCCCGACUUGAGUGCGCAGAAAGCAGGCGGAAUUUGUGGUGUAGCGGUGAAAUGCUUAGAUAUCACGAAGAACCCCGAUUGCGAAGGCAGCCUGCUGUAGCGCUACUGACGCUGAAGCUCGAAAGUGCGGGUAUCGAACAGGAUUAGAAACCCGGGUAGUCC
rnacentral:rRNA from 1 species